AUUAAGGUGACAGAAUAGUGUGAAGAAUUUAAGAUUCUUUUAUGAAGAUUUUUAAGUUUUCUCUUAAUA
rnacentral:tRNA from 1 species